CAGCUCGGCGGGGGACCCCCGCGCUUCCUGCUCGACCUGCGGCAGUAUUUGGGAAAUUCCACUUAUUUGGACGACCAUGGACCACCUCCUAGUAAGGUAAGAUCUUCGUGAUAUGAAUCCCCUUUUCCUUUUCUCAGUACCUACACCCUCCACAACCCCAACUAGAUCCCUCCUGGCCCUGAAUUGUUCAGAGGAGAAUAGCAGAUAGCAGAUGUCCAGUUAAGCUUUACUAAUUAAUAGUCAAUAGAAAAAGGAAGUGUGCAAAGAGAGCCAAAAUGGUAAGGGAGUGAGAGCCAUCAUUCCAUCAGUAGCCGUAGCUGUCCCAGGCGCCGGAGCCUCAGGCCGACUUCAGACGUGUGACUGCUUCUCCUGUUGGCUGCCUCACUUGCCUCUGCAUCCAUGCUGACCUACAAUGUGAAGUCUGAAGCCCAGCCUCCUCAUGCCUUUGACCUUGGGCUAGACUCACAUCUGCCCCUUCCUCUACCUCCUGCCUUGCUUGGAAUACUCCACCCAAGGCCCUGCCCCCUGUAAACCGGCCUUCUCUGCCAGUCCCCUCUCGAAGCUGCCCUGGCCUGGCCUGCAUAACCACUUUUGUUCUUAGAAGCAACUCCGGCUUGACUUUUAAGGGUCGGCAGAGGCCAGUGAGGUAUUCGUGCUAUUCUCCACCACUACGACUUUCUCAAGUGCACUGAAAAGCAACUAUCAACCUACUGAAAAAUGAGAAAACUGUAGACACUCUUUUUGACCAUUUAAGAUGAUGCCUGCAAAGUGCAGGUGUAAGCGCCUAGUGAGAAGACAAUCAGCCAUUAACCUUAGAGGCUAGAAAUUUACCCUGAAAUUGGCUUGUGAAUUGGUGGGAUUCGGAGAAGAAAGCCAUCACAGUUAAGACCGUGAGCUUUGGAAUAAGGUGUUUCUGGGUUCACCUCGGGCUCUACACUAUCAAUAUAUGAUGUUGGACAAAUUACUUAAUGUAUUUAAUGUGCAAAAUGGGAUUAAAAAAUAUGAUCCAUAGUAUAGGACAUCUGUAAGGACUGAACGAGCUGAUAUGUGACAAGCACUCAGCACCUGGCAUAUAAUAAGCAUUAAAUAAACGCUGGCCAGUGUUAACUAGACUAGAAUAGCAUUAAGAUUAUUAUUAUUUUUUUGUCUUUUUGCCAUUUCUAGGGCUGCUCCUGCGGCAUAUGGAGGUUCCCAGGCUAGGGGGUCUAAUUGGAGCCAGAGCCACAGCAAUGCAGGAUCUGGGAUCUGAGCCGCGUCUCGAUCUACACCACAGCUCACAGCAAUGCCGGAUCCUUAACCCACUGAGCAAGGGCAGGGAUCGAACCCACAACCUCAUGGUUCCUAGUCAGAUUCAUUAACCACGUGCCACGACAGGAACUCCUAGCAUUAAGAUUAUUGAUGAACAGUACAGUAGUAUUUAUCACAGUGGUGAAUGGCUUACCGCUUGGUCCACUGCAUAUACAUCGAGUGCCUGUGAUGCUGCAGACACUAGGAAACCAUUGUGAAAGAAAACAAGAGCAACAACCAGAUGGCCACUACCCUGGAGAAACAAGAGGAAUGGAGAGGAUUAGAUAGUAUCUGAGGAUAAUAAUCAUAUCUAGCUCAUCUCCAUGUCCUCACAUCCUUGCAUGAGCCUCGACACACAGGAAGGCACACUGUGACUGUUAACCGGACCAUGGAAUCCAGCACUGGAAUCUGAAUUCGGUCUCCUGGCUCCCAUCCCAGGUUCUUUCCACUAAGGCCAGGGUUCUCAAACUGUAGCUUGCAUCAGAAUUUCUUGGAGACUUGUUAAAACAUGAUUUGCUGGGCUCAUACCCCUGACUGCCUAAUGCAGUUGGUCCAAGGUGCAUUUCUAAGAAGCUCCCAAGUGAUGCUGAUACUGCAGGUCUGGGGACCACAUUUGAGAAGUGUUGCUCUAAACGCCAUGAAUACAAAGAAAANUCUAAACGCCAUGAAUACAAAAAAAACCAUUUCCCUGAACUUUUUUUUUUUUUUUUUACUGCUAAUAGUCUAGAGAUCAUGGCAUGACUUAUUAUACAGAGACUAUGAAUUAAUAUAAUUGCAACUUUUCUUAUAGUGAAAAUAUAUUUUCUUUAGUCAAUAAUGGGCUUAGGAGGGAAACUAAAUGGGAGUGGGGAAGAAGAAUGGUGUGGAUCUCCUGCUGGGUUCCUUCAGCACUCACUGCACUUCUUUCCUAAGGAGGGCCAAGUGAACCCCCACCACCCACGCUGCUCUGCAGGGAAGGGGGUUUGGUGGCCCCAUUUGUGGGAUCUACUAGCUGUUUCCCUCAAUGACAUAUCAGCCCAUUACUUGGGGUCCCAGCUUGAUAAGCGGAGUUUUACCUGGUCCGAAGACCCAGGUCCACUUUAUGGAAACUUGCCUUCUUGAACGCCAUCCUGGGGACACUCUGUGAGUCUGCCUGAAGACCUUGCUCUUGCCAAGCUGGCCAUCCUCCUGUCUCUACGCCUGUGUCCUUGGCACCCGGGUUUUGUAUUUGCUGGGCGCUCUGCCCUUGCCCCAGCAGGGCUUUCCUUGGCUGGGCAUUCUCCUUCCCCUGCAGUCUGGUCUGCACACCCUCCUCCACCAGCCCUAGCCAAGGCCCCCUGCAACACACAAAAACCAUCAGGUCAUAGCAGAUCAUGUUAGAUCAUUCUCAGAAUAAAUCCAGCUUUAUCAACGCUGGUCCGAGUUUAAAAACCAUGAGCACCAUCUCUUUCAGCAGCAGAAGUUUAUAUAAUACAGGUUUCUUUCACCGCAACUGUGCUUUCAUUAUCUAGGAGCAAAAAAUGCUCUUACCUUUCUAAGCAGUAGCCAAAA
rnacentral:lncRNA from 1 species